rnacentral:rRNA from 1 species
UGGGGAAUAUUGGACAAUGGGCGCAAGCCUGAUCCAGCCAUGCCGCGUGGAUGAAGAAGGCCCUAGGGUUGUAAAGUCCUUUCGACGGAGACGAUAAUGACGGUAUCCGUAGAAGAAGCCCCGGCUAAUUUCGUGCCAGCAGCCGCGGUAAUACGAAAGGGGCUAGCGUUGUUCGGAAUUACUGGGCGUAAAGCGCACGUAGGCGGUCGUGUAAGAUGGGGGUGAAAUCCCGGAGCUCAACUCCGGAACUGCCUUCAUGACUGCAUGGCUAGAGGAUGCGAGAGGUUGGCGGAAUUCCGAGUGUAGAGGUGAAAUUCGUAGAUAUCGGGAGGAACACCAGUGGCGAAGGCGGCGAUCUGGGUCGAUACUGACGCUGAGGUGCGAAAGCGUGGGGAGCAAACAGGAUUAGAUACCCGGGUAGUCCCUGAGCGGGCUGGCAAGGCGCAU